UGUGAGACACUCCAUGAUGAUGACACA
rnacentral:piRNA from 1 species